rnacentral:rRNA from 1 species
CUGGAAACAGGUUAAUAUUCCUGUACUUGGUGUUACUGCGAAGGGGGGACGGAGAAGGCUAUGUUGGCCGGGCGACGGUUGUCCCGGUUUAAGCGUGUAGGCUGGUUUUCCAGGCAAAUCCGGAAAAUCAAGGCUGAGGCGUGAUGACGAGGCACUACGGUGCUGAAGCAACAAAUGCCCUGCUUCCAGGAAAAGCCUCUAAGCAUCAGGUAACGUCAAAUCGUACCCCAAACCGACACAGGUGGUCAGGUAGAGAAUACCAAGGCGCUUGAGAGAACUCGGGUGAAGGAACUAGGCAAAAUGGUGCCGUAACUUCGGGAGAAGGCACGCUGAUAUGUAGGUGAGGUCCCUCGCGGAUGGAGCUGAAAUCAGUCGAAGAUACCAGCUGGCUGCAACUGUUUAUUAAAAACACAGCACUGUGCAAACACGAAAGUGGACGUAUACGGUGCGACGCCUGCCCGGUGCCGGAAGGUUAAUUGAUGGGGUUAGCGCAAGCGAAGCUCUUGAUCGAAGCCCCGGUAAACGGCGGCCGUAACAAUAACGGUCCUAAGGUAGCGAAAUUCCUUGUCGGGUAAGUUCCGACCUGCACGAAUGGCGUAAUGAUGGCCAGGCUGUCUCCACCCGAGACUCAGUGAAAUUGAACUCGCUGUGAAGAUGCAGUGUACCCGCGGCAAGACGGAAAGACCCCGUGAACCUUUACUAUAGCUUGACACUGAACAUUGAGCCUUGAUGUGUAGGAUAGGUGGGAGGCUUUGAAGUGUGGACGCCAGUCUGCAUGGAGCCGACCUUGAAAUACCACCCUUUAAUGUUUGAUGUUCUAACGUUGACCCGUAAUCCGGGUUGCGGACAGUGUCUGGUGGGUAGUUUGACUGGGGCGGUUUCCUCCUAAAGAGUAACGGAGGAGCACGAAGGUUGGCUAAUCCUGGUCGGACAUCGGGAGGUUAGUGCAAUGGCAUAAGCCAGCUUGACUGCGAGCGUGACGGCGCGAGCAGGUGCGAAAGCAGGUCAUAGUGAUCCGGUGGUUCUGAAUGGAAGGGCCAUCGCUCAACGGGUAAAAGGUACUCCGGGGAUAACAGGCUGAUACCGCCCAAGAGUUCAUAUCGACGGCGGUGUUUGGCACCUCGAUGUCGGCUCAUCACAUCCUGGGGCUGAAGUAGGUCCCAAGGGUAUGGCUGUUCGCCAUUUAAAGUGGUACGCGAGCUGGGUUUAGAACGUCGUGAGACAGUUCGGUCCCUAUCUGCCGUGGGCGCUGGAGAACUGAGGGGGGCUGCUCCUAGUACGAGAGGACCGGAGUGGACGCAUCACUGGUGUUCGGGUUGUCAUGCCAAUGGCACUGCCCGGUAGCUAAAUGCGGAAGAGAUAAGUGCUGAAAGCAUCUAAGCACGAAACUUGCCCCGAGAUGAGUUCUCCCUGACCCUUUAAGGGUCCUGAAGGAACGUUGAAGACGACGACGUUGAUAGGCCGGGUGUGUAAGCGCAGCGAUGCGUUGAGCUAACCGGUACUAAUGAACCGUGAGGCUUAACC